GAUGAACGCUGGCGGCGUGCCUAAUACAUGCAAGUCGAGCGAACGGACGAGAAGCUUGCUUCUCUGAUGUUAGCGGCGGACGGGUGAGUAACACGUGGAUAACCUACCUAUAAGACUGGGAUAACUUCGGGAAACCGGAGCUAAUACCGGAUAAUAUUUUGUACCGCAUGGUUCAAAAGUAAAAGACGGUCUUGCUGUCACUUAUAGAUGGAUCCGCGCUGCAUUAGCUAGUUGGUAAGGUAACGGCUUACCAAGGCAACGAUGCAUAGCCGACCUGAGAGGGUGAUCGGCCACACUGGAACUGAGACACGGUCCAGACUCCUACGGGAGGCAGCAGUAGGGAAUCUUCCGCAAUGGGCGAAGGCCUGACGGAGCAACGCCGCGUGAGUGAUGAAGGUCUUCGGAUCGUAAAACUCUGUUAUUAGGGAAGAACAUAUGUGUAAGUAACUGUGCACAUCUUGACGGUACCUAAUCAGAAAGCCACGGCUAACUACGUG
rnacentral:rRNA from 1 species